ACGCUCGACACCUACGGGAAGCAGCAGUGAGGAAUAUUGGUCAAUGGGCGCUAGCCUGAACCAGCCAAGUAGCGUGAAGGAUGAAGGCUCUAUGGGUCGUAAACUUCUUUUAUAUAAGAAUAAAGUGCAGUAUGUAUACUGUUUUGUAUGUAUUAUAUGAAUAAGGAUCGGCUAACUCCGUGUCAGCAGCCGCGGUAAUCUGAGCGGGCUGGCAAGGC
rnacentral:rRNA from 1 species